UUCCAGACUCCUACGGGAGGCAGCAGUGGGGAAUAUUGCACAAUGGGGGGAACCCUGAUGCAGCGACGCCGCGUGGGUGAAGGAGUGCUUCGGCAUGUAAAGCCCUAUCGGCAGGGAAGAAGCAAGACGGUACCUGACUAAGAAGCCCCGGCUAAAUACGUGCCAGCAGCCGCGGGAAUACGUAGGGGGCGAGCGUUAUCCGGAUUGACUGGGGGUAAAGGGAGCGUAGGCGGCCAUGCAAGCCGGGGGGGAAAGCCCGGGGCCCAGCCCCGGGACUGCCCUUGGAACUGAAUGGCUGGAGUGCGGGAGGGGCAGGCGGGAUUCCUGGUGUAGCGGUGAAAUGCGUAGAUAUCAGGAGGAACCCCGGCGGCGAAGGCGGCCUGCUGGACCGCGACUGCCGUUGAGGCUCGAAAGCGUGGGGAGCGAACAGGAUUAGAUACCCGAGUAUG
rnacentral:rRNA from 1 species